CCUACGGGAGGCAGCAGUGAGGAAUAUUGGUCAAUGGGAGGAAUCCUGAACCAGCCAUGCCGCGUGCAGGACGACGGCUCUACGAGUUGUAAACUGCUUUUGUACCGGGGUAAAAUGCUCUACGAGUAGGGUUUUGAAAGUACGGUACGAAUAAGGAUCGGCUAACUCCGUGCCAGCAGCCGCGGUAAUACGGAGGAUCCGAGCGUUAUCCGGAUUCAUUGGGUUUAAAGGGUGCGUAGGUUGUUUUAUAAGUUAGCGGUGAAAUACCGAUGCUCAACAUCGGGGCUGCCGCUAAUACUGUAGGACUAGAGAUCGGAUGCAGCAGGCGGAAUGUGUAGUGUAGCGGUGAAAUGCAUAGAUAUUACACAGAACACCGAUUGCGAAGGCAUCUCACGAAUCCGCGAUUGACGCUGAUGCACGAAAGCGUGGGUAUCAAACAGGAUUAGAUACCCCUGUAGUC
rnacentral:rRNA from 1 species